CUGCACAAAGCCAAAUCUCUCUUAUCACAUCGUCAUAUCGUAAAAUUAUAAAGAAUCAUUUUCCUUUGGGUCGCGAAUUUUUCCAACAGAAAUCAUCGACAAUACUGUUUGCACUCAUAGCAAUCGUUGUUGCAUCAGCAUCUGAUAGCUGUGACGUCCAGGAGAAAAAUAUUUGCCGAAACGCGCGUUCUAAUUCCGUCAAAGACAAACAACGAGAAACAAUGGAAACGAGAAUUCGGUCGCUAAAAAGUAAAGCUUUUCAAUCUUCGAACAUAUGUAGUAAAGAAUUGCAUUAACAUUCAUCCUCUUCGUACAUAUUAAUGAUCGAGUUUUCGCAUCUAUGUGUGCGUAUAUCCAUAUCUCUUUCAAUAUAACAUGUAUAUCAGGAUGAUUCUUAUCCUCUUUUGGAUGUGAUAAUUAUGUUUCCUGACCACGAUUCGAUAUCUUUCCUGAUUUUUCUUUCAAUUAUUCUCUUUACUUCAUAUUCUCUUCUCUUUUUUCCCUCUUUUAUAUCGACAUUCCGUAAUUAUCGGACUAAUUGCAAUUUCUCUCGUACUUCGCACUUCGAGGAAUCUCUUGCGAUAUAGAAAAGUGUGAGACACUACGUAUUUUCAAUUCAGAACACGCUAUUCUGUCGAUAGGAAUAAGCUGAUCAAUUUUCUGUGGAAUCUCCUCAAAUAAGGAUUUUUUUCUUAUAUUGAGAAUGUAUGAUUAUAUGAAUGUUAAUUAUUGAAAUUUUAAUUAUCCAAAUGAUUAUCUUAAAAUGAAUAUGUAUUAACUCAUGAAUAUAUAUAUACUAUUUAUAAUAAUAAUAAUAUUAUAUUAUUAAAUAUAUUUAUUACAUAUUUGUUUAUAUAUAUAUAUGUUUAUUCUAUAUAUUAUAUUAUAUAUACUAUUGUAUAUAUUAAUAAUAUGUAAUAAUAUGUAUUAAUUUACAUGUGUAUUAACUUAUAAAUAUAAAUAUACAUGGCAUAUUUAAAAAUA